rnacentral:rRNA from 1 species
UCCACGCCGUAAACGAUGAUCACUAGUUGUUGGCGAUAAAAUGUCAGUGACUGAGCGAAAGCAUUAAGUGAUCCACCUGGGGAGUACGUUCGCAAGAAUGAAACUCAAAGGAAUUGACGGGGGCCCGCACAAGCGGAGGAACAUGUGGUUUAAUUCGAUGAUACGCGAGGAACCUUACCCGGAUCGAGCCAAUUAUGGAGAAACACAGUAGAGAUACAGUGGUGCCCUUCGGGGAAUCUGAAAACAGGUGCUGCACGGCUGUCGUCAGCUCGUGUCGUGAGAUGUUGGGUUAAGUCCCGCAACGAGCGCAACCCUCGUCCUUAGUUGCCAGCAGGUCAUACUGGGCACUCUAAGG